rnacentral:rRNA from 1 species
UACGAAGGGGGCUAGCGUUGCUCGGAAUCACUGGGCGUAAAGCGCACGUAGGCGGGUCUUUAAGUCAGGGGUGAAAUCCCGGAGCUCAACUCCGGAACUGCCUUUGAUACUGAGGAUCUUGAGUUCGAGAGAGGUGAGUGGAACUGCGAGUGUAGAGGUGAAAUUCAUAGAUAUUCGCAAGAACACCAGUGGCGAAGGCGGCUCACUGGCCCGGUACUGACGCUGAGGUGCGAAAGCGUGGGGAGCAAACAGG